UAUAAAACAGCCCCACCCCUAUCUUCGGACUCAGCCCGCCUGCACCCAGGUGAAAUAAACAGCCUUGUUGAUCACACAAAGCCUGUUUGAUGGUCUCUUCACACUGACGUGAGUGAAAUUUUGGUGCCGUGACUCGGAUCUGGGGAGUCACAAUCCGAGAUCAAUCCCCUGUCCUCCUGCUCUUUGCUCCACCUACGACCUCGGGUCCUCAGACCAACCAGCCCAAGGAACAUCUCACCAGUUUUAAAUCCGGUCCGGGCUUUAGGUAGAUAAGGGAACUUCAGAGAACAACUUCAUCCUGUGUUUUGGGAGACACGGAGGACUGAGCGAUGAGAAGUAGAUUACAGACAUGAGCCACCGCGCCCUGCUGACCUCUUAACUCUUUAGAACAGAGUUCUAAACUUCCUGACUCUGAAGUUAUCUUUCCAUUUCAUCCUCAAAGAUACCCAAAGGACCUUUUAGCAUACUGGUGAUUGAGACAAAAGAAUUUCCAAACCUGGAGACAAAUCCCAACUCUUGCUUCCUGAUUCUCUUUUCUAUACUGUCUUCUCAGGUCAUCCUUUCCCCAUGGCUGCAUAAAAUAGAUUGAAUCAAAUGGAGCCCAUCAUGCUGGCUGCUUCUCUCCGCUGGGGCCAGGAGCAGCCUGACUGCAGAGUCAGCUGAAGACAGACAGCAGUCAGAGUGCUGGCCUUCUCCUUCCAAAAACACAGCCGUUCAAGUUCACAGAGACUGAAGAAUACGAUAAACACAGAUAAACGUGCUUGACGGUGAGUAAUUUUUGUCUGGGUACGGAAAGAAGAAUAACAGGAGAAAAGGCACCAUUUUCUUGGCCUGAACCGCCUCCUCUGGUUUCUUUUUUUCUUUUUCUCUUUUCUUUUU
rnacentral:lncRNA from 1 species